CAGCGACGUCAGGAGGUUCGUUUCCUGUAUGGAGUUUAGCCUCUACCUUGAGGGUAACGUGACUCUGAGAUAGGCGGUGAUAAGUGCGGUUCAGAUUCCUACAAUAUAGGAUCCGCUCAGCGUAUAUAUCCUAUAUAAGAUCAUUCUCCAAUCAACGAUGGAUAGGGAUGGGGACAAGAUGGCAAAGAGUAUAAUAAAUCUCACCCUAGAGAUCCUCCUCCGGCUUACUGGAGAGGAAUACACAGUAGUGAAGAAGACCUCUAGUGAGUAUUGUCAGGACCCUGUAUCUGAAGGACGGGGAGGAAUCCUGAGCCCAAUAUCCAGGCCGACACCUCACAUCCCGAUACAUGAGAAAGUCAACAGAGAGAAGAUCCUAGAGCUCACCAACAAGAUUAUUGAGCUGCUGACUGGAGAGGUGACAUUGCUGGGAA